rnacentral:lncRNA from 1 species
AUGAACAGAGUAUAAUUUAUGUAUUCAUUCUAGUGUCGGUGGAUAUUUGUGCUGUUUCUACUUCUGGGCUAUUGAGAUUAGUACUAUUAUGAAUAUUCUUUCAGUCAACAUAUAUUUAUAUUUGUUGGACAGAUACCUAGAAUUACACAGUCAAAAUUUACAGUAUGUUCAGCUUUAGCAGAGUUUAUUUCCGAAAGCACACAAUUUACACUCCCACCAAACUUGUAUUGAGUCCCAGUUGGUUCAUAUCUUCAUCAUCAGUUGGUAUUUUAAUCAUUUUAACCAUUCUGGUGUGUAGUGGUAUUAAAUUUUUGUUCUAAUUUGCCUUUUCUUGAUGACAAAUGAAGCUGAACAACUUUUCAUACAUUUACUCACCAUUUAAAUAUACCUUUGUGAAUUAUGUUCAAAUUUUCUGCUUUUUUUUUUUCCUUCUUCCUCUUCUCCCCAAAGCACCCCAGUACAUAGUUAUAUAUUCUAGUUGUGAGUGCCACUGGAUGUGCCAUGUGGGACACCACCUCAGCACGGCUCGAUAAGCAGUGAGACAUCCGUGCCCAGGAUCCAAACUGGCGCAACCCUGGACCACCGAAGUGGAGCGUGCAAACUUAACCACUCGGCCACGGGGCUGGCCCCUCUGACUUUUUAUUGUAGUUCUUUAUAAAUGCAGUAUAAGAGUCCUUGGUUAAAUACAUACAUUGCAAUUGCCUUCCCCCAGUCUAUGGCUGACUUUUAACUCUUGUGUUUUUUUGUUUUUUGAACAAAUAGCAGUUCUUAAUUCUAAUGUGGUCAAAUUCUCUGUUUUUGUUUCUUGUUUAAGGUGACUUAGCUAAGGUCAUGAUGUUCACCUAUAUUUUCUUCCAAAAUCAUUAUUGUAUUACCUUUCACAUUUAGAUGCAUAAUCCACAUGAAAUUGAUUUUUGUGUAUGGUGAUGGUUAUAGUCAAAAUACAUUGCUCUUGUGAAUAUUGAGGGCCAAUUAACCCAACAUCAUUUACCAAGAACACCAUCUUCUCACCACAAUAUUACAGUGUCACCUUUGCCACAUAUCAAUAUGUUUGGGCCUGUUUCUAGACAUUGUGCAUCCUUGUACUUAUACCACAGUCCUCAUAUCUGGCUAUCUAAAUCUUGCAGCUUUAUUUUUCUAUUUUCAGAUUACCUUAGCUAUGGUCAUUGCAUCUGCAUAUACAUUUUAAAGUCAGACUUGUUAAUUUCCAAGAACAAAACUUGCCAGUGGAUAGCAAUUAGGGUUGCACUGAAUCUACCAUUCAAUUUGGGGAGAAAUGAGGCUUCAAAGUCAUCAAAACAGUAAGGAUACUUUUCCUUUAUUUUGGUUUUUAAUGUCUCUGAAUUUUGUGAUGUAGUUUUUGGACUUCUAGAACUUACUGUUUUAGUGCUACUGUAAAUUUAACAGGAAUUUAACACAGUAUUUAAAGUGAACAUCUUGGUAAAAUUGAUAAAUGUGCAUAACCAUCACUGCAAUAAAGAUGGUGAACCUAGCCAUCACUUGCAGGGAUCACUGCCCUUUAUUGCCUGAUGUCUACUGACUUGAAAACAAUUAUUUCCUCUAUUUUGUCAGUUUUCUUUUUUCCUGGUUUUUUCAGGCAGGAGGGUAAAUCUGGUCUCUGCUACCCUAUCCUAGGUGGAUACAACUGUCCUCGUAUCACUUAAUUUUCAUAUUUGCUGUUUAUACAUAAAAAUACAAUUUUUCUACAGUCAGUUUGUUAAACUCACUUAUUUCUAAUAACUUCUCCAUAGGUUUUCUUUGACUUUUCUAUGUAUACAAUGAUAUC